GCAGACCGUAUCAAUCAAAGGAAAAAUAUGAAGAUCAUAAACAAGAGAAAUUGCUCAGCUACAGUUGCAGUUAAAUGCGUCAGUCUUCGCCAAGUUUUCUAUUCGAGAAGCAAAUAACUGGAAAACAGAAUCUAGUAACAGGAAGUCAGCAUCGAGGACGGGCACAUUGGACAGGCGCCCCUCUCAUGUGCUUACGAAGUAACGCCACCCCAGGUGUCGCUUAGCAGGCAACGCUCUGGAAAGUUCCAUGCCGCCCGCAUGGUUUGCUCGGUCCUGACCAAUCAGGGCGGAGGAAGCCGCAUGGUGCGUUGAAUAUACCCAGCCGCGCACUGCAGCGAGGCAGCCCACGCUACUCAGCCAUGUGAGCUGGACGCCGCUGCGCUGCCCGUUGCCCGAGUUCAAGAGGCCUGCACUGCACGACCAGCUGGGUCGCCGUCAUCCGUCGACGCGUCACCCGCCGUUGUCCACCACCGUCGUCCGCCGCUGUCACCGACGCGCCAGGGGCCUGCCGCCAUCGCAAAACGACUGAGCCAGCGCCAACCGCUGCCAACACAUUUGCCACUGCCCGAGGGUCUGGACAACUCCGCCGCCGCUGCUGCCAGCCAACCACCGCCCGCCACAGCCACUGCACCAUGCCGUCGCCAUCACCAAUGUGUCGCACCACUUGUAUCGCCAUUGCACGGACCUGGCCACAGCCACGCCCCCUUCCCGCUGGCAGCCUGCGCGCUGCCCGCUGAGGACAACACACCAUGCCACCUCGCUCCACUCGCCCCCGCAGUGACUCAUCAGUAGUGAUAUGUUUACAUUUUCAACUCAUUUAAACAAAAGCAAAUAGACAUUUUUACUUCAUCUUAGCAACAAGAACACAUGGCAUGUUUACCUAAUUCACACUGUUAUGUUCUGUUCUCAUUUUGUUUUGAUAUUUUAUGAUGAUUUGAUGUUUUAUGAUGAUUCUUGUAUACACACAAUAUUGUUGAUGUAAGUCCCUUUGCGACCUCUAGGAGGUCUUGAGUCACUACACCUUCCCAUAGGUUAAGACCUCUGCAGUCUCCCAUGAGGGCCAUUCUUAAUAAAGUGAUGUUUACUUUGUUUCGCAAGCUAAAUUUGUUUACAUUAAAUAAUAAUUACAUUGAGCGAAUUCACGUACGUUCUCUGCUCCCACGGAAGGGGGAGGAGUGUAAAGGAUGAGCCAGACAAUAGGAGGUUUUACUUUAUUAUAUGAGCCUCCAAACAGUAACUUCGUUUUUCCAUUGUGGCCAAGCCACGGCCGCCAGUGUUGCCGUGGACACGCGCCCCUCUCGUGUACUUACGAAGUAAUACUGCCUCAGGCGUCGCUUAGCAGGCAACGCUCUUGAAAGUUCCAUGCUGCCUGCACGGUUUGCUUGGUCCUGGCCAAUCAGGGCGGAGGAAGCCAUGUGGUGCGUCGAAUAUACCCGGCCGCCCGUUGCCGACCUGCUCUCUGGCAUUCUUGCUCACCCACAAGCUGGAUGCGCGCCCUGUAGUAGCGAACAAUGUUUCACCAAACUCUAAGCUCUGGCUCACCCUCACCUCCCUAGGCCUAUGUAA
rnacentral:lncRNA from 1 species